CCUACGGGAGGCAGCAGUGGGGAAUAUUGCACAAUGGGGGAAACCCUGAUGCAGCGACGCCGCGUGAAUGAAGAAGGACUUCGUUAUGUAAAGCUCUAUCAGCAGGGAAGAAAAUGACGUUACCUGAGUAAGUAGCCCUGGCUAACUACGUGCCAGCAGCCGCGGUAAUACGUAGGGCGCAAGCGUUAUCCGGAUUUCCUGGGUGUAAAGGGAGCGUAGACGGCAGUGCAAGUCUGUAGUGAAAGGCGCGGGCUCAACCCCCGGACUGCUCAGGAAACUGGACGGCUGGAGUGCAGGAGAGGCAGGUGGAAUUCGUAGUGUAGCGGUGAAAUGCGUAGAUAUGAGGAGGAACCCCAGUGGCGAAGGCAGCUUACUGGACUGUAACUGACGUUGAGGCUCGAAAGCGUGGGGAGCAAACAGGAUUAGAUACCCGAGUAGUC
rnacentral:rRNA from 1 species